ACAACUGACUGUUGCUUGCUAGAUAUCCUCUUUCAGUCAGUAAGAAAUACUCCUCAUAUUUCCCCCUUAUUUUCCCAGUAUUAUUCCUGAGGACAAAACCCUUUCUCAUAGUAUGGAAAGUCUGAAGUUAAAGAGGGUUUUUAUCUACAAUCUACAAAACUGAAGAGCAGCACAGCUAUGGAUUUUAAGUGCAACUACAGCAAAUCUCCCAGACCUUUGAGGUUCUCCCACCAGUAAAAUAAUGCACCACAACCGAAAAUGCUGAAGCCUGAAAGCGGAGCUUAACCAUAACCAGAAGAAAUGGUAUUUGUCAUUUCAUCAAAAACAUGUGUUAUCUCAGAUUCUGUGACAGCAGGACCAUUUUAGGACUGAAAAAAUGUUUUGAAAUAACUCCUUAAUUUCAUAUUUUGGUUGAAAAUAUUGGCUAGUAUUGGAACAUAAGAAUACAAGAAAGAACAAGAAAUAGCCUUUACUGAUGUGUGUAAUAACAAUUGACAAUAUAAAUUAAAUAAAAUUAGGUUUUACUGGGCUGGUAUUGUAAAUUGAAUCUAACCAAUGGUGCUGGCAAUGCCAAUCAAUAUUAUCUGUUAACCUUGUAUAAUACUACUUUAAAUACAAAGCAAUCUAGAUGCUAGUCUUUAUUAUUAAGCAAUGAAAAAGAGCUGAGCCCCAUUAAAAGACUUCAGUUGAGACAUGCUGGUAAAUUUGUAAAAUUGCCUUUGUUCUGUAUGAUUUAGAAUAGACAGGUUUGAACAAAUCUUUUCUCAGUAAUGCUCACUAUUUGAUGCUAGUGUCAGCAUUACACUUGUAUUAAAUGGCUCUUUAUCAAAGAAGUCUGGUUUACGAUCCUUUGAAAAAAUCAUAAACAAACUUGUAGAUGUUCAAAAAGAGAUAAUAUAGAUGCCAUGAAAAAAACAACUUGUAAAUAUGUAUUUUGACUAAAUAAUGCAUUCUGAU